CAGGUGACGAAGAAUAGAGGAUGUCCAGCAAUCCCGAAGACAAGCGUCACGUCCGUCACUCAUGUGGGUGCUGAAGUUAUGCAGCGUCAGGUCAGGAGAGAAGGCAGGAGCUAAAGCUCUUGGAAAAGACCCAGAUGUUUCCUGGAGGGCAAGUCACACAGCUGUUUGUUCCUCUGUCAAGAAGGGCUGAUGCCGCAGCUCACCGGGACAAUCAUAAGGAGGAGCCAUCAAAUAAAUGCCUGCUGUGACAAAUACAGACAAGAAGCUUCAUGAUGAAUCCAUGCCCUCAGCAGAGUUCAGCCUCCACCCAAAACAAACAGGACGCUGGACGCCAAAGAAGCAGUCACACACGCGCUCGUCAAGUCACUGGCCCUCUGCCCAGGGAGGCCGUGGGCGGCCAGGGGGCCCUCCACAGAAGCUCCUGUCGGAAGGUCAGGCCUGCGGGGACAGUCCCUGCUUCCCUGCAUCCCUGUUACGUCCCUUUUAAUUGCUACCCCCGAUCUCCACAUCUUCAGACUGGCCUGACGGUGGCUCUGUUCCUGACUUUAUUUCCGUCUUUGUCCAGCUGUCCCACCCUCAGCCUCGUCCGGUCCCGUGUCAGUUUGUCUGGUGCAGCCCAGGCAGCCCAGCCCCAUCCUACACAUGGUCACCAGGUUCCUCCCCGGAAACUCCACAGAAUCACAGACAUUUCAUACCGGAAGGGGCUUAAAGGGUCGCAGAGCCUGCUGGCUUGAAAAUUAUAUUUCGCUUCAUGACUUUCUUCCCCAAAUGUGUUUGCAAAAGCCUAAGGGGCUCCUUGGAAUAAUAGGCGCUCCAAGGAGCACAACUUGGAGACAGGGGUCCGUUUCAGCCUCCUCUCCUAAAACGUGAGGAAACGGAGGAGCAGAGAAGUGAAGCGUAUGCUCCACAUCGGCUAAGUUGGGGGCAGAGCUCAGAGGAACACUCAGGGCUUUUGUUUCCUACCACUUUUUCACUUUUUGUUAAUUUAAAAAUGAUCUCUUUAUCUGUAGAAAUUUUCUAUCUAUAUGCUUUUACGUCCCAUUUCAGCAUUAUCCAAAAUUUUAACUCAGCGUAACUAAAAUAAAUCAAUUGGCUUUUUCAGGAAAGGGAAGCCAGGUAGGCACUUUUACUGGUCCUCUUUGAGGCCAUAUCUGAGAAGAUUCUAGAAAGUAAAGAAGAGAGAAAGCAUGCAGUAGGAAAUACAUGGCGUGGCACCCAUGUGAUAUGUGCAGCUCUGGAGAUGAGGCGCAAUGUUUCCCAGUAAAAUUACCCCCAGGAAGGGUCCUGGAGGAGAUGGGGAUCAACACAUUUAGAGGUUUCUGGAAAUGUUGAGAGGUGAGGGCAGCGAAGGACAGAGCUUGAGCUGUGAGAAUGAGGGGCAGUGUCAGGCGGAGGGUCUGCCAGGCAUUCAGUCCUAGGCCAUGCGUGAAUGCAAUGUUUGAUGUGGCUGUCAACUUGAGCCUCCCUCCAGAAUUCCUGAUCUGGUAGGUUUGGGGUGGGGCCCAAGAAUUUACAUUUCUAACAAGGUCUCCCUCAUGCUGAUGCAUCGGUCUUACUUUGAGAGCCUACUGCUUUAUAGUAUUCAUGAUUAUAUGUUCAUUGUGAUUCUUACAAUCAGUGUAUGGUAAGAGUACUGUUCUGUUUUUCACAUACUCCCAGAAAUUCUGGAAGAAUUCUGACAAUAUUCUGUGAAAUUUAUUACUGCACAAAUUUGCCACCAAAAUGCACUGGUUAUCACCAAUAAAUGGCAAUGUUAUUGUUUUAAUCAUAAUUAUUAUUUCUACAUCCUAUUGAAUUUCAGACCUCAAAGAGAUGCAGGAAAAAGAUACACACCAAUGUCUACUAACAAAUAUAAAUUUGCUUGAAAACCUAAUAAAAAGUA